UACAGAGGGUGCAAGCGUUACUCGGAAUUACUGGGCGUAAAGCGUGCGUAGUCGGUUAUCUAAGUCGGAUGUGAAAUCCCCGGGCUCAACCUGGGAAUUGCAUUCGAAACUGAAUAGCUAGAGUUCGGCAGAGGGAAGUGGAAUUUCCGGUGUAGCGGUGAAAUGCGUAGAUAUCGGAAGGAACAUCAGUGGCGAAAGCGACUUCCUGGACCAGAACUGACGAUCAGGCACGAAAGCGUGGGGAGCAAACAGG
rnacentral:rRNA from 1 species